UACGGAGGGAGCUAGCGUUGUUCGGAAUUACUGGGCGUAAAGCGCGCGUAGGCGGCUUUGUAAGUUAGAGGUGAAAGCCCGGGGCUCAACUCCGGAACUGCCUUUAAGACUGCAUCGCUUGAAUCAUGGAGAGGUGAGUGGAAUUCCGAGUGUAGAGGUGAAAUUCGUAGAUAUUCGGAAGAACACCAGUGGCGAAGGCGACUCACUGGACAUGUAUUGACGCUGAGGUACGAAAGCGUGGGGAGCAAACAGG
rnacentral:rRNA from 1 species